GCGCAGCAGUCGAGAAUUUUUCUCAAUGGGGGAAACCCUGAAGGAGCGACGCCGCGUGGAGGAUGAAGGCUUUCGGGUUGUAAACUCCUGUCAUUUGAGAACAAGUGGCCGAACGUAACUACUUCGGCCUUGAUAGUAUCAGAAAAGGAAGGGACGGCUAACUCUGUGCCAGCAGCCGCGGUAAUACAGAGGUCUCAAGCGUUGUUCGGAUUCAUUGGGCGUAAAGGGUGCGUAGGUGGCGCCGUAAGUCGGGUGUGAAAUUUCGGAGCUUAACUCCGAAACUGCAUUCGAUACUGCGGUGCUUGAGGACUGGAGAGGAGACUGGAAUUUACGGUGUAGCAGUGAAAUGCGUAGAGAUCGUAAGGAAGACCGGUGGCGAAGGCGGGUCUCUGGACAGUUCCUGACACUGAGGCACGAAGGCCAGGGGAGCAAACGGGAUUAGAUA
rnacentral:rRNA from 1 species